UUCUUUGAUCCUCUUCCUGGCCUGCUCCUGCUUCUGCGUCCCAGGACAGAAUGACUGAGAACAUGAAGGAGUGCUUGGCCCAGACCAAGGCGGCUGUGGGGGACAUGGUGACCGUGGUGAAGACAGAGGUCUGCUCGCCCCUCCGCGACCAGGAGUAUGGCCAGCCCUGCUCUAGGAGACCCGAGCCUUCGGCCAUGGAAGUCGAGCCCAAGAAACUGAAGGGGAAGCGAGACCUCAUGGUGCCCAAGAGCUUCCAGCAAGUCGACUUCUGGUUCUGCGAGUCCUGCCAGGAGUACUUUGUGGACGAGUGCCCCAACCAUGGUCCCCCCGUAUUUGUGUCAGACACACCGGUGCCCGUGGGCAUCCCGGACCGGGCUGCCCUCACCAUCCCGCAGGGCAUGGAGGUGGUCAAGGAAGCCAGCGGAGAGAGCGACGUGCGGUGCAUUAGUGAGGUCAUACCCAAGGGCCACAUCUUUGGCCCCUAUGAGGGGCAGAUCUCCACUCAGGACAAAUCGGCGGGCUUCUUCUCAUGGCUGAUUGUGGACAAGAACAGCCGCUACAAGUCCAUAGAUGGGUCGGACGAGACCAAGGCCAACUGGAUGAGGACCGUGGCGCCCCUGGCCGAGCGUAAGAGGAAGCCCAAGUUCUCCAAGGAGGAGCUGGACAUUCUGGUCACGGAGGUGACCCACCACGAAGCAGUUCUCUUUGGGAGGGAGACCAUGCGGCUGUCCCAUGCCGACAGGGACAAGAUUUGGGAAGGCAUAGCUCGGAAAAUCACCUCCGUCAGCCAGGUCCCCCGCUCCGUCAAGGACCUUAAGCACAGAUGGGAUGACAUGAAGCGGAGGACCAAGGACAAGCUGGCCUUCAUGCAGCAGUCCCUGUCGGGCCCUGGGGCUGGGGGCCGGGCCCCUGCCUUCAUGCUCACUGCCCACGAGAGGGCCAUCGAGUCCGCGCUGCGCACCGCCCGCUCCGGGCACGGCUUCCCCAGGGCGGAACUGGACGGCACCGACAGCCCCUCGACCAGCUACGAUGAAGAUGAGGAGUUGCCUGGGCCCUCGCGCCAGCCUCUCCGGCUGCCUCUGCAGCGGUCUCCGGAGGAAGAGGCCCCCCUGGCCAGGCCCACCCUGCUGCGCUCCUCCUCCUCCUCAGACCAGUCCGAGACUCUGGGCCCCAAGCCGGAGGCCCUGCCCCGCACCCCGUCCCAGGCACAGGCCACCUGCAGGACCCCGCGGCCACACCCAGGCUCGCCCACCCCGGGCCUCGACUGGCAGCUCCUCCACGUCCAUGCCCAGCAGACGGAGGUGUUCCGGCAGCUCUGCCAGGAGCUGGUGGCCGCGCACCAGGACAUGGCUAACAGCAUGCACGUCAUCGGCCGGGCCAUGGCCGAGCUGAGCGGCCGCGUCGGUCAGAUGUGCCAGACGCUGGCGGAGAUCCGGGACGGGGUCCAGGCAUCAAGGCAGGGGCCAGAAGGGGCGGCCCCCACGGGCUCUGCGCUCCCGGCCCAGGCGCCCCCGCCGGACCCCCCACGAGCUCCCCCAGCACCAGCCCCCACUCGGACUACCAGGUCUCAGAAGAGAAAGCACAGCCUCUAGCCCGGCAGCCGGUGCCAGGAGGAGCUAGAGGGAGGAGUCUGGCCUCAGACCGAGGACCCCUGUAGGACUCUGGGGCGCUGUCCCCCAUCGCAGAGUGCAGGCCGCGCCCCGUGCCCUGGGAGCCGGUGUCCGGCCCUCCCUCCUCUUUGCCAGAGGCUCAACAUCCAAGAAAAGCCCCCGCUUUCUGCUUGCUUGGCCCGAGGCGCCUCCUCCUCCUGGUCGGUAUCUGGUGGCAGCCGCGUGAGUGUAGGGGGGCAUCCCAAGGGAACCCCUGCUUCCAGCCUCAAGGCUCUGCCUCAACCUCAUGACCUCCGGGUCCCUGAUCCUGCUGCUUUCCUAGUGGGCGUGGCCAGAGGACAGGCGGGUGAGUCUGUCCUGACCUCACAAGGGCUCUGAGCCCGGGGGCUCCCUGCCUUGGCCCUGGCUUGCUCUCGUGCAGUGCGCGUGCUCAGCUGCUGUGCUUGCCUUCUGUGGAGUCAGGUGGAGACCGGGUGAUGUCAGGGAGACUAUCUUACGUUCUUGGAGCACUUUGUGCUCUUCCUGCACCUGCAGAUAUAUGUGAUCUCAGGGCGUGCUCAGGCCAGCCUGAGAGGCAGCUAAGUCGGACAUCAUUCUCUUUAUCAUGUGCAUUUGUAGAUGAAAAGUGACACAGCUUGUUGGUGGGAGGCCGGGACUGUGCAUUUGUCCAGCUCCCCUGUCCAGAGGCCACAUCUGGAGUCGGGGGAGCAGGGGGCUUGCUCCUUGCCUGGCCUCUGUGCCUGCCUCGUCUCCUCUGGUGGGUCGGGAGAGAGGUGGCAGUGUUAGGCACGUCUACCACACACCCUGGCCCUAAAGCUCUCCGCCAGGGGCCAGGGAGAGGCAGGCCCAGGUCUCGGGAGCCAGAAGGCAGCCCGGCCUCCGGUUCCAGCAGGACCAAGCCCGUCCCGCGUGCCAGCAUGCCUCGCCUCUGCUUGCUCGGGCUGCAUUCGCACCAGCCACACAGCUCUGGCUUCGUGCUCCCCGUUGGGGUGGGACACCCGGGCUCUCAUGUUAGGGAGGGGAGGGGCAGGUGGCUGGGGACAGGUGCUCCCCAGCUCUGUCUCUUUCCCAGCGGCUCUUUCUGCCCACCCGCCACCUCUCCCUGUCCCCGAGAACCACCGCCGGGGCUGGGAGGCUUGCUGUACCAGCGCCUGCCCAGGCCCUUCCCGGAGCACUGCUUGUGAACCCAGACCCAGCUCGUCCCCCACAGGGACAGUGCAGGGCGCCUGCCAUGUCCCUGGGCCCUCGGCCCCAUCCCACCCUGUGGUCCUUUGGGGCUCCUGUCCCCACACGGGACGCUCUUUGGCCGACAGCCAGGGGCUGGGUCAUUGCCUGGAGUUGCCUUGCCCUCCCACGCUGGACCCCAAGAUUGCAAUAAAAAGAAAUGGAUGUCACACUCUGAACACACCCGGGUCUGGGGUCUUUCUUUG
rnacentral:lncRNA from 1 species